GUAUUUUUAAGCUUGAAAUUCAUAUAAUUUUUUUGAAAUCUCUUUAUCAAUGAAAUUCUUAUAAAUUCACAAAUUAUUGAGGAUACUUAGAUUUUAAAAGAUUUCAUUGAAAUUCGUUAAAAUCUCAUGUUGGAAAACCCUAGAUUUUAAUGAAUUUUAAAAAGUCAAUUAAAGUUUCAAUUGGAACCCUUAAAUUUAAAAGUACUUCCAAAAUACAUUAAAAUCUCAGUUGAGGAUACCUUUGUUCAUUCAUUUAUUUUUCACUACCACCAAAUUUAUCAGAAGAGGUUACUCAUGUGUGUUAUAUGGUCUGUAAUGUCACAAUGGUUGAUGCGCUAUAACAGGCGGUAGAAGUAGAAGAAACCGGCCAUAGAUUCUGAGAAACCAUUCUUGCCCUUGGAGGUGGAAAAUCACCCCUAGAGGUUCGACAUAAUGAGGCUAUUUCUUUUCUCAUUAUGAAGUGACACUAAUUUCUGUAGUUUACAUUGAUCUCAAUUUUUUAUUCUGUCGAAAUACUUGUUUCAGGUAUUUGUGGAAUUCCGAGGACGAGAACCCUCUUCAGAGGCACUGCUCAGGCACAAUGGUUUGUUACAAGUUGCGGCCUCUGCAUGAAUUUAAAGAGUUGAAUUUUUAUUAAUGUUUGGUAAUCAAUACUCGACUGUAUUUUUCAAAGAAGCUCAGAACACUAAUAAUUGAAUUCUUGCGCUUAUAUAUUGUAUCUUAUUGUUCAAAUACCUAUAAAAGGUACUCCAGUUUGAGAUUAUGUUAAAAAGUAUGCACGAGUUCUUCUGAAUUACAAGUAUCAAAGCAGUCUCGAUUGAAUUAUUAAAUU
rnacentral:lncRNA from 1 species